UACGUAGGGUGCGAGCGUUAAUCGGAAUUACUGGGCGUAAAGGGCGCGUAGGCGGCCAUCUAAGUCAGACGUGAAAUCCCCAGGCUUAACUUGGGAACUGCGUCUGAUACUGGGAGGCUUGAGUGCGGGAGAGGGAUGUGGAAUUCCAGGUGUAGCGGUGAAAUGCGUAGAUAUCUGGAGGAACACCGGUGGCGAAGGCGGCAUCCUGGACCGACACUGACGCUGAGGCGCGAAAGCUAGGGGAGCAAACGGG
rnacentral:rRNA from 1 species